CACACUUCACAACCCGAAUCGUCGACCCCCUCUUCUCGCCAGCUCUGCCAUCUCGAUGGAGCUUCCACCCUGCCGUCUCGAGCUCCUGUCAAGUGCCACAUCUCACAACCGACUACCGCGGAGGAAGUCACAGAUGAACAAGGGUUCGUUCGAUGCAACAUCACAAAAUGAAGGCUCUCGGAGACGACGAGAGGAAGGGCAAAGCAAGGGAAAGGCAAGUUCUCUCCAAUAUGUUGGUAUGAGGUCUGUGAGAUAAGGGUAAAGGAAAGAUGGAAUAACGGAGGCUGGAGGCAAUGCGAUGAAGAUGUGUGUGAGCAGGAACUUGGAAUGAAGAUCUUUGGGGGAGACUAGCAAACUAAGAACUUAGUACUCUUAUAGUAUUACUUUUCUGCACUCUUAGAUGUUUAAAUGUCUUGAUUCAUGAAAGUAUGUACCAAGUUAUGCUUAAAUUGUUAUUUGUCAUGUUAGUAGAUA